rnacentral:rRNA from 1 species
UACGGAGGGUGCAAGCGCUAUCCGGAUUCACUGGGUUUAAAGGGUGCGUAGGUGGGUUGGUAAGUCAGUGGUGAAAUCUCCAGGCUUAACUUGGAAACUGCCAUUGAUACUAUCAAUCUUGAAUACCGUGGAGGUCAGCGGAAUAUGUCAUGUAGCGGUGAAAUGCUUAGAUAUGACAUAGAACACCAAAUUGCGAAGGCAGCUGGCUACGCGGAUAUUGACACUGAUGCACGAAAGCGUGGGGAUCAAACAGG